GUGGGGAUGUGGCUCAAGUGGUAGCGUGCUCGCCUAGCAUGCAUGAGGCACUGGGUUUGAUUCUCAGCACCACA
rnacentral:tRNA from 1 species